rnacentral:lncRNA from 1 species
AAAUAUAAAAUAAGUAUUUAUUCUGCACAAGACACAGAUCUUAACCUAAGUAUGUAUCUCUUUAAUAAUUUUGAAUCUUAAAUAUUUUCUAAAUGUCAGGCCAAAAUAAAAGAAAUAAAUGAGAAUAAACUCAAAAAUCAAUACUUAUAUCGAGCAAUAACAAAAAUGACAGAAAAAGAAAAAAACAUCGAAGAUAUAUAGGAUUGGCACGUGAACGUAAACUUUUCAUAACCAUAAUUAAUUUUUAAAUUGCUAAAUCAUGAUAUAAAACCAAACUGACAUAGUUUCAUUGUAAUCAAAUAGUAGGCAUGAUAAAUUUUCGGUCUAAACAUUAGGUUUUUAUGUGAUAAAUAAUUGUUUGAUAUAAAAUAUUUUUAAAAAUUAGAUCAGUUUAUUAUUAAACAAAUUAUGUAAUUAAAAAAAAAUAGGUUUUUAAAAAAAAAAAUUAAAAGCAAAAUAUAUCAAUGGGCAAAUCUCCAAAAUAGCACUUUUCUAAGUUUAUGUCACAAAUAGCCCUCAAAAAACUAAAAUGACCAAAAUAGCAUUUUUUAUUUUGAAAAUUUUAAGUUUUUUAAAUUUUUUUAAAUUGGAAAUCAUUUCCCCAAAACCCCACUCCUCAACUUUAAACAAAAAGAUCUAGGAUUAGUUAACUCAAGGAGUAAAAAUGAAUAAUUUAUAAAACAUUUAAGUGCUAUUUUGAUCAAUUUUAUUCUUAAGUGCUAUAUUUGUG